rnacentral:rRNA from 1 species
GUGGGGAAUAUUGGACAAUGGGCGAAAGCCUGAUCCAGCAAUGCCGCGUGAGUGAAGAAGGCCUUCGGGUUGUAAAGCUCUUUUACCCGGGAAGAUAAUGACUGUACAGGGAGAAUAAGCCCCGGCUAACUCCGUUCCAGCAGCCGCGGUAAUACGGCGGGGGCUAGCGUUGUUCGGAAUUACUGGGCGUAAAGCGCACGUAGGCGGUCUUUUAAGUCAGAGGUGAAAGCCCGGGGCUCAACUCCGGAAUUGCCUUUGAAACUGGAAGACUUGAACACGGGAGAGGUGAGUGGAAUUCCGAGUGUAGAGGUGAAAUUCGUAGAUAUUCGGAGGAACACCAGUGGCGAAGGCGGCUCACUGGACCGUUGUUGACGCUGAGGUGCGAAAGCGUGGGGAGCAAACAGGAUUAGAAACCCGGGUAGUCC